rnacentral:rRNA from 1 species
AGAGUUUGAUCCUGGCUCAGGAUGAACGCUGGCGGCGUGCCUAACACAUGCAAGUCGAGCGGCAGCGCGAGUAGUUUACUACUUGGCGGCGAGCGGCGAACGGCUGAGUAACGCGUGGGAAUUUGCCCCAAAGUGAGGAAUAACUGCCCGAAAGGGUGGCUAAUGCCGCAUAUGAUCUUCGGAUUAAAGGAUUUAUCCGCUUUGGGAGAAGCCCGCGUCGGAUUAGGUAGUUGGUGAGGUAAUAGCUCACCAAGCCGACGAUCCGUAGCUGGUCUGAGAGGAUGACCAGCCAGACUGGAACUGAGACACGGUCCAGACUCCUACGGGAGGCAGCAGUGAGGAAUCUUCCACAAUGGGCGAAAGCCUGAUGGAGCAACGCCGCGUGCAGGAUGAAGGCCUUCGGGUUGUAAACUGCUUUUAUAAGUGAGGAAUAUGACGGUAGCUUAUGAAUAAGGAUCGGCUAACUACGUGCCAGCAGCCGCGGUCAUACGUAGGAUCCGAGCGUUAUCCGGAGUGACUGGGCGUAAAGAGUUGCGUAGGCGGUUUGUUAAGUGAAUAGUGAAAUCUGGUGGCUCAACCAUACAGGCUAUUAUUCAAACUGGCAAACUCGAGAGUGGUAGAGGUCACUGGAAUUUCUUGUGUAGGAGUGAAAUCCGUAGAUAUAAGAAGGAACACCGAUGGCGUAGGCAGGUGACUGGACCAUUUCUGACGCUAAGGCACGAAAGCGUGGGGAGCGAACCGGAUUAGAUACCCGGGUAGUCCACGCCGUAAACGAUGGAUACUGGCUGUUGGAGGUAUCGACCCCUUCAGUAGCGAAGCUAACGCGUUAAGUAUCCCGCCUGUGGAGUACGGUCGCAAGACUAAAACAUAAAGGAAUUGACGGGGACCCGCACAAGCGGUGGAUCGUGUUCUUUA